CCGUGGCAGUGACGGGUAACGGAGGAUUAGGGUUCGAUUCCGGAGAGGGAGCCUGAGAAACGGCUACCACAUCUAAGGAAGGCAGCAGGCGCGCAAAUUACCCAAUGAAAACAGUUUCGAGGUAGUGACGAGAAAUAACAAUACAGAGCAUUAAAUGUUUUGUAAUUGGAAUGGUGGGAAUCUAAACCCCUUUCAGAGUAACAAUUGGAGGGAAAGUCUGGUGCCAGCAGCCGCGGUAAUUCCAGCUCCAAUAGCGUAUAUUUGAGUUGUUGCAGUUAAAAAGCUCGUAGUUGGAUUUCUGUGUCGGUUCUCGCGGAUGCCAUGUAGAGUAACUUUUACGGGUGUUGACAUGCGUUGAGUCGGUGCAUUUUCUCAGUUGGUAUAUUGUUUUGUGUGACUGUGGAUUUAACUAUUUGCAGUUAUUCCUGGAAGUAUAUUUAUCACUGAGACUUUUAAUUUGAGAAAAAUAGAGUGUUUCUGGCUGGCUUUUUUGCCUUGAAUAC
rnacentral:rRNA from 1 species